AUAUUGGUCAAUGGGCGCAAGCCUGAACCAGCCAUGCCGCGUGCAGGAUGACGGUCCUAUGGAUUGUAAACUGCUUUUGUACGGGAAGAAACCCCUUUACGUGUAAAGGGCUGACGGUACCGUAAGAAUAAGGAUCGGCUAACUCCGUGCCAGCAGCCGCGGUAAUACGGAGGAUCCAAGCGUUAUCCGGAAUCAUUGGGUUUAAAGGGUCCGUAGGCGGCUGUAUAAGUCAGUGGUGAAAUCCGGCAGCUCAACUGUCGAACUGCCAUUGAUACUGUACAGCUUGAAUUAUUGUGAAGUAACUAGAAUAUGUAGUGUAGCGGUGAAAUGCUUAGAUAUUACAUGGAAUACCAAUUGCGAAGGCAGGUUACUAACAAUACAUUGACGCUGAUGGACGAAAGCGUGGGGAGCGAACAGG
rnacentral:rRNA from 1 species